CCGAGUUAUUUCAGGGUUGUAAUUCGGAUUUUAGUUUAUUUAUGUUAUGUUGGCAUCUAUGUUUAAACCCUUCUAUCUUUUUAUUUAAUGAAAUGCAAUGUCCCUUUUGUUUCGUGUCUAAUAUAUUUUGUUUUUCUUUUUUACACAGUUCUCUUUAUGCUGAUUCUAAUGACAUGACAUGCAUGUGAAAUUUUUAGCCUGAUCUUAAAAUCCAAACUAAUCAAG
rnacentral:lncRNA from 1 species